rnacentral:rRNA from 1 species
GACGAACGCUGGCGGCGUGCUUAACACAUGCAAGUCGAACGGGUGGCGGACGGGUGAGUAAUGUCUGGGAAACUGCCUGAUGGAGGGGGAUAACUACUGGAAACGGUAGCUAAUACCGCAUACCAUCAGAUGUGCCCAGAUGGGAUUAGCUAGUCGGUGGGGUAACGGCUCACCUAGGCGACGAUCCCUAGCUGGUCUGAGAGGAUGACCAGCCACACUGGAACUGAGACACGGUCCAGACUCCUACGGGAGGCAGCAGGUGGGAAUAUUGCACAAUGGGCGCAAGCCUGAGGCAGCCAUGCCGCGUGUGUGAAGAAGGCCUUCGGGUUGUAAAGCACUUUCAGCGGGGAGGCGUUACCCGCAGAAGAAGCACCGGCUAACUCCGUGCCAGCAGCCGCGGUAAUAC